CGGUCGCUUCUCGCAGGCGGCGCGCUUGCUGAGUCACAGUGAGGCGGCUCCGCGCAGGCGCAGCCGGGCGGGCGAGGAGCGGGGAAGCUGACUCAGGGCUGCGGCCGGGGUCCUGCCGGGUAGGAGCGCGAGGCCGGCCUGAGGGAGGAGGCCUAGCGACCCAUCUGGCGCCUCCCGCCCCGGGCACCCGCCCACGGCCGCGCAUCCUGCGGGCCCCAGGAGGCCUCCAUCUCAAAACAACGUGUUUUUAGUUGCUUCAGGCCAUCUGGAUGUAUACAUGCAGGUCACUGGGGAUAUGGUGGCUUAGCUUGGUCUCAGAGGCCUGACAGGAGUUCAAGACCAGCCUGGUGAACAUGAUGAAACCCUGUCUCUACAAAAAUAAGAAAUGAACGCGGCAUGGUGGCAUGCACCUGCAGUCCCAGCCUCUUGGGAGGUGGAGGCAUUAGUCAGCUGUGAAUGCGCCCUGCACUAGAGCCUGGGCAGCAGAGCAGAGCAUUCCUCAAACCCAAAAAGCGUCGUGCCAACCGGACCAGAUGGUCGCCUAAUCAACAGAGACCACGCCCAAUCAGAGAACUCAAGGGCUGUGAAAAGAGCAGGACCUCACCAGCUGCACGGCGGUGGUGACUGGCUCCAUCUUGCUGUCCCUCCCAAUCACACAACAUCUCCCCUUGAAGGCUCUGCCCAGGCCUGGACUCCCACCUUUCAAGAUGUCUGGAUCAGUGCAGGACCUCCUUCUUGGCCACACUGCUCUCCUUGGACUGGUUCGUUAACCCUGUUUUACCCACAUUUUCUUUUUUUUUCUUUUUUUUUUUUUUUUGAAACGGAGUUUCAUUCUUGUUGCCCAGGCUGGAGUGCAAUGACUCGGUCUCAGCUCAUUGCAACCUCCGCCUUGCAGGUUCAAGUGAUUCUCCCACCUCAGCCUCCCAAGUAGGAUUACAGGUACACACCACCACGCCCAGCUAAUUUUUUUGUAUUUUAGGAAGAGAUGGGGUUUCACCAUGUUAGCCAGGCUGGUCAGGUGAUCCAUCCGCCUUGGCCUCCCAAAGUGCUGGGAUUACAGGCGUGAGGCACUGUGCCCGGCCUGCCCCCCUUUUCUCUUGAUGUAAGUGGACCUUUUAAUCCAUAAUCUGUAACAUUUAUGUAUUAAGUUUACUACUAUCUUUGGUUUGCAGUGUUGACUCACCUGUGGAGUGGUCUGAGCCUGAAUGCCCGGGGCUGUGGCCACCGAGUGAACGGGCUGUGCUAAGGGAAUUGCCACCUUGGGAACCCUGUGUAGUUACGGCUUUUCUGAUUAAGUAUCAAUAAAAGUCUGACCUUGUGAAAAAAGCAAA